UCGGGAUAGCUCAGUUGGUAGAGCAGAGGACUGAAAAUCCUCUGUCACGUUUCAAUAAA
rnacentral:tRNA from 1 species